UUCUGCUCAGAGCAAACCUCAGGGAACUGAGGGACGCAGAGCCACGGGGCCGAAUCAGCAUUUGAUCGGUCAGCCGAGCCGCCAGA
rnacentral:ncRNA from 1 species